AACGAACGCUGGCGGCAUGCCUAACACAUGCCAGUCGAACGAGACCUUCGGGUCUAGUGGCGCACGGGUGCGUAACGCGUGGGAACCUGCCCUUAGGUUCGGAAUAACUCCCCGAAAGGGGUGCUAAUACCGGAUAAUGUCUUCGGACCAAAGAUUUAUCGCCUUUGGAUGGGCCCGCGUUGGAUUAGCUAGUUGGUAGGGUAAAAGCCUACCAAGGCGACGAUCCAUAGCUGGUCUGAGAGGAUGAUCAGCCACACUGGGACUGAGACACGGCCCAGACUCCUACGGGAGGCAGCAGUGGGGAAUAUGGGACAAUGGGCGAAAGCCUGAUCCAGCAAUGCCGCGUGAGUGAUGAAGGCCUUAGGGUUGUAAAGCUCUUUUACCCGGGAUGAUAAUGACAGUACCGGGAGAAUAAGCUCCGGCUAACUCCGU
rnacentral:rRNA from 1 species